rnacentral:rRNA from 1 species
UACGUAGGGGGCUAGCGUUAUUCGGAAUUAUUGGGCGUAAAGGGCGCGUAGGCGGCUUUGCAAGUGACGGGUGAAAUCCCUCGGCUUAACCGAGGAACUGCCUGUCAAACUGCAUGGCUUGAGACCAGGAGAGGUGAGUGGAAUUCCCAGUGUAGCGGUGAAAUGCGUAGAUAUUGGGAGGAACACCAGUGGCGAAGGCGGCUCACUGGACUGGUACUGACGCUGAGGCGCGAAAGCGUGGGGAGCAAACAGG